GACGAACGCUGGCGGCGUGCUUAACACAUGCAAGUCGAACGGGAACCUUUAUUUCGGUAAAGGUGAGAGUGGCAAACGGGUGAGUAACACGUAGGCAACCUGCCGACAGGAUGGGGACAACAUUCCGAAAGGAAUGCUAAUACCGAAUGGAGUCCGGGGAUGGCAUCAUCCCUGGAUAAAAGAUGGCCUCUGAAUAUGCUAUCGCCUGUCGAUGGGCCUGCGUCUGAUUAGCCAGUUGGCGGGGUAACGGCCCACCAAAGCGACGAUCAGUAGCCGGUCUGAGAGGAUGAACGGCCACAUUGGGACUGAGACACGGCCCAGACUCCUACGGGAGGCAGCAGUGGGGAAUCUUCCACAAUGGGCGAAAGCCUGAUGGAGCAACGCCGCGUGAGUGAAGAAGGUCUUCGGAUCGUAAAGCUCUGUUGCACGGGACGAAAACCGGG
rnacentral:rRNA from 1 species